rnacentral:rRNA from 1 species
UACAGAGGUGGCAAGCGUUGUUCGGAAUUACUGGGCGUAAAGGGCGCGUAGGCGGUUCGUUAAGUCCUGUGUGAAAUCCCCCGGCUCAACUGGGGAACUGCACAGGAAACUAGCGGGCUUGAGUUCGGGAGAGGGAAGCGGAAUUCCGGGUGUAGCGGUGAAAUGCGUAGAUAUCCGGAGGAACACCGGUGGCGAAGGCGGCUUCCUGGACCGACACUGACGCUGAGGCGCGAAGCUAGGGGAGCAAACGGG